rnacentral:rRNA from 1 species
AUGUGUUGUCCAUGCACUGAAUGUGGGAAUACGAGGUCUUACUCUAACCGGAAAAUCCUUCACUCCCACUUGCUUUACAAGGGUUUCAUGCCACAGUAUAAUGUUUGGACGAGGCACGGAGAAAUAGGGGUUAUGAUGGAAGACGGCGAAGAAGAAGAGUACGAUGACAACUAUGUGCCCCCUGAAUACAGUGAUGCUGCAACCGGGGGAGCUGGUGAAGAUCAAGAGGAACCAGACGAUGUGCCCAAUGAUGCUGCAACGGGUGAAGCUGCUCAAGAUCAAGAGGAACCAGACGAUGUGCCCGAUGAUGAUGAUCUCCGCCGGGUCAUUGUCGAUGCAAGGACGCAAUGUGAAAGUCAAAAGGAGAAGCUGAAGUUCGAUCGCAUGUUAGAGGAUCACAAAAAAGGGUUAUACCCCAAUUGCGAAGAUGGCAACACAAAGCUCGGUACCAUAUUGGAAUUGCUGCAGUGGAAGGCAGAGAAUGAUGUGACUGACAAAGGAUUUGAGAAGCUACUGAAAAUAUUGAAGAAGAAGCUUCCAAAGGAUAACGAAUUGCCCGACAGUACAUACGCAGCAAAGAAGGUCGUAUGCCCUCUAGGAUUGGAGGUGGAGAAGAUACAUGCAUGCCCUAGUGACUGCAUCCUCUACCGCGGUGCAUACAAGGAUCUGAACGCAUGCCCAGUAUGCGGUGCAUUGCGGUAUAAGAUCAGACGAGAUGGCCCUGGUGAUGUUGACGGUGAGCCCCCCAGGAAGAGGGUUCCUGCGAAGGUGAUGUGGUAUGCUCCUAUAAUACCAUGGUUGAAACGUCUGUUUAGAAACGAAGAGCAUGCCAAGUUGAUGCGAUGGCACAGUGAGAACCGAAAGAAAGAUGGGAAGUUGAGAGCACCCGCUGACGGGUCGCAGUGGAGAAAAAUCGAGACAAAGUACUGGGAUGAGUUUGCAAAGGACCCAAGGAAUGGAUGGUUUGCUUUAAGGGCGGAUGGCAUUAAUCCUUUCGGGGAGCAGAGUAGCAAUCACAGCACCUGGCCCGUGACUCUAUAUAUGUAUAACCUUCCUCCUUUGAUGUGCAUGAAGCGGAAGUUCAUUAUGAUGCCAGUUCUCAUCCAAGGCCCUAAGCAACCCGGCAACGAAAUUGAUGUGUACCUAAGGCCAUUAGUUGAAGAACUUUUACAGCUGUGGAAUGGAAACGGUGUACGUACGUGGGAUGAGCACAGACAGGAGGAAUUUAACCUUAAGGCAUUGCUGUUCGUGACCAUCAAUGAUUGGUCUGCUCUCAGUAACCUUGCAGGACAGACAAACAAAGGACACCACGCAUGCACGCACUGUUUAGAUGACACUGAAAGUAUAUACCUGGACAAAUGCAGGAAGAAUGUGUACCUGGUCCAUCGUCGAUUUCUUCCGACCAACCAUCAAUGUCGAAAUAAAGGCAAGCAUUUCAAAGGCGAGGCAGAUCACCGGAAGAAGCCCGCCAUGCGUACCGGUGAUCACGUACUUGCUAUGGUCAAUGAUUUACACUACGUAAUCUUUGGAAAGGGUCCCGGUGGACUAGCUGUUCCGAAUGACGCUGAGGGACACGCACCCAUGUGGAAGAAGAAAUCUAUAUUUUGGGACCUACCCUACUGGAAAGACCUAGAGGUCCGCUCCUCAAUCGACGUGAUGCACGUGGUGAAGAACCUUUGCGUGAACCUGCUAGGCUUCUUGGGCGUGUAUGGGAAGAAAAAAGAUACACCUGAGGCACGGGAGGACCUGCAACGUUUGCACAAAAAAGACGGCAUGCCUCCGAAGCAGUAUAAAGGUCCUGCCAGCUACGCUCUUACGAAAGAAGAGAAACAAAUCUUCUUUGAAUGCCUGCUCAGUAUGAAGGUCAUGACUGGCUUCUCGUCGAAUAUAAAGGGAAUAAUAAAUAUGCCAGAGAAAAAGUUUUAG